GACGUAGGAUGCGAGCGUUGUCCGGAUUUAUUGGGCGUAAAGAGUUCGUAGGCGGUUUGUUAAGUCUGGUGUUAAAGAUCGGGGCUCAACCCUGGGACUGCAUUGGAUACUGGCAGACUGGAGUGCAGUAGAGGCGAGUGGAAUUCCCAGUGUAGCGGUGAAAUGCGUAGAUAUUGGGAAGAACACCGGUGGCGCAGGCGACUCGCUGGGCUGUAACUGACGCUGAGGAACGAAAGCCAGGGGAGCAAAUGGG
rnacentral:rRNA from 1 species